rnacentral:rRNA from 1 species
UACAGAGGUGGCAAGCGUUGUUCGGAAUUACUGGGCGUAAAGGGCGCGUAGGCGGCCCAAUAAGUCAGACGUGAAAUCCCCCGGCUUAACCUGGGAAUUGCGUCUGAUACUGGAGGGCUUGAGUAUGGGAGAGGGAUGUAGAAUUCCAGGUGUAGCGGUGAAAUGCGUAGAUAUCUGGAGGAAUACCGGUGGCGAAGGCGGCAUCCUGGACCAUUACUGACGCUGAGGCGCGAAAGCUAGGGGAGCAAACGGG